rnacentral:rRNA from 1 species
CCUACGGGCGACAGCAGUAGGGAAUCUUCCACAAUGGGCGAAAGCCUGAUGGAGCAACGCCGCGUGGGUGAAGAAGGUCUUCGGAUCGUAAAACCCUGUUGUUAGAGAAGAAAGUGCGUGAGAGUAACUGUUCACGUUUCGACGGUAUCUAACCAGAAAGCCACGGCUAACUACGUGCCAGCAGCCGCGGUAAUACGUAGGUGGCAAGCGUUAUCCGGAUUUAUUGGGCGUAAAGGGAACGCAGGCGGUCUUUUAAGUCUGAUGUGAAAGCCUUCGGCUUAACCGGAGUAGUGCAUUGGAAACUGGGAGACUGGAGUGCAGAAGAGGAGAGUGGAACUCCAUGUGUAGCGGUGAAAUGCGUAGAUAUAUGGAAGAACACCAGUGGCGAAAGCGGCUCUCUGGUCUGUAACUGACGCUGAGGUUCGAAAGCGUGGGCAGCAAACAGGAUUAGAUACCCCAGUAGGC